rnacentral:rRNA from 1 species
GCAUAAUCUCUACGGAGAAAAGCAGGGGAUCGCAAGACCUUGCGCUUUUGGAGCGGCCGAUGUCUGAUUAGCUAGUUGGUGAGGUAAAGGCUUACCAAGGCGUCGAUCAGUAGCUGGUCUGAGAGGACGACCAGCCACACUGGGACUGAGACACGGCCCAGACUCCUACGGGAGGCAGCAGUGGGGAAUUUUGGACAAUGGGGGAAACCCUGAUCCAGCCAUGCCGCGUGAGUGAAGAAGGCCUUCGGGUUGUAAAGCUCUUUCAGCCGGAACGAAACGGUCACAGCUAAUACCUGUGACUACUGACGGUACCGGAAGAA